rnacentral:rRNA from 1 species
GCCUGCCCAGUGACAAGUUCAACGGCCGCGGUACCCUGACCGUGCAAAGGUAGCAUAAUCACUUGUUCUUUAAAUAGGGACUCGUAUCAACGGCAUCACGAGGGCUAUACUGUCUCCUUUCUCUAAUCAGUGAAACUGAUCCCCCCGUGAAGAAGCGGGGAUUUUGUUAUAAGACGAGAAGACCCCAUGGAGCUUCAAGCAACAUACUCACCUCUCACCCACCACAUCAGCUUAAUAUGUGGGGCCCUGAAUACUAGCUUUAGGUUGGGGGGACCGCGGAGUAAAACUUAACCUCCGUGAUAAACAGGCCAAGCCUUUAUCCACGAGCCACAGCUCUAAGAAUUAAUAAACUAAUGUUUAUGACCCAAUUACUUGAUCAACGAACCAAGUUACCCUGGGGAUAACAGCGCAAUCUACUUCAAGAGCCCCUAUCGACAAGUAGGUUUACGACCUCGAUGUUGGAUCAGGGCAUCCCAGCGGUGCAGCCGCUGCUGACGGUUCGUUUGUUCAACGAUUAAAGCCCUACGUGAUCUG